AGUCCUUUUGCAUGUCAUUGCCUCUUAGAAAAUUUUGUACCCAGUACUUGUAAACAUAGUGAUUAUUUAUUGGUGCCUGUGUUAUUGUCAACAUUAUAUUGACAAAGUUCAAUUCUUCUUCAACAGUAACUUUUCAUCUUGUUCUUAGAUAUUUCAUUGGUGGUUCUUAUGUGACCAAGUGCAUCAUCAUUGGGAUGUUGGAGAUCAGACAAAAGCAACCGUAUAUUAUGAGCAAUCCAUCAUAACACUAUUGCAAGUCAUUGUGUUAGUAGCAUUCAACAAUGGUCACUAACUCUUGUGUGUGGCCAAAAAGGCAACAGAAAAAGUGGAAAUGUGAAGAUAUCGUAAGAGAUGCAAAAGUAUGAGGAGGUGAAGAACAUGUGAACCAUGUGGGAGACCUUGUUCCAAGGCGAAUGGUUGGUGAAGACUUUAGGUGCAGAAGGUUCCAGUGCUUUAAAAAUAUCAGUGUUUGGAAACAGGAAGAGAUUUUGAAAAACUUUAACAGCCUGUUCAAAGGACGAUCAAGACUGUAAUUUAUGUGGACUAAUUACAAAUUGUGUAAUUUAAAGGAAGUGGCCAUGGGAUGCUGGCAGUUUAGAAUGAGGUAUCAUGCAGCUGCCUAUACUUGCAAAGUUGGGAUUGGAAGUAGGGAAGUCCCUGUAUGCCAAAAGGCUUUUUUAAGCUUCCACUCAAUUUUUGAAAAUAUACUCCAUAGAUUAUAGCACAGCUUAUUGACCGCUGGGAGGUAACUGAAAAGCAAACAAGGUCACAAUAAAUCUGGACCGAGGAACCUCCCUGACUCUGUGAAAUAUCUUAUGGAAUAUCACAUUAAUUCAUAUCAGGCAAGAAAAUCUCAUUACUCAACUUUCAGGGACACUCCAAAUCAGAGAUACUUCCCUGAAGAGUUGACCAUUGCUGCCAUACAUCAUUAUUUUCUUAAAGUGUAUCAGAUUAAUGUAGCCUACAAAUCAUACUGAUCAAUUUUCAACAUAGGCUUUGGUUUCCCAAGGUCAGAUACAUGUGCACUAUUUGAAGCACUUCAGUAAAAGAUCAUUGCAGCUGCAGAUGAGAAUAUAAAAGCCAAUACACAGUAGAAAAAACACUACAUUUAAAGAAAGCUGAUGCUUAAGUGAUAGAAAAGAGAAGAUUUGUUAUGAAAGCUAAGGCAGGUGAUGUAACUUGUCUAUGCUUUGAUUUCAUGCAAAACAUUCCUCUACCAUACAUUCAGAUUAAAUGUUUGUUAUUCACAACAGUUAAUGGUACAACAUUUUCAGCAUUCAUAACGUAGCAAAUGGUUCUGUGACAUUGCAUCGCUGCCUACAGCAUGAGGCAAAAAAGGACCUGAAUGAAGUGACUUCCAUGCUGUUACAUACAGUAAUAAAUGUUUGGUGAAC